rnacentral:rRNA from 1 species
UCGCAAGGAUUCGGAGCGACUAGUGGCGAACGGGUGAGUAAUGUGUGGGUGAUCUACCCUGGGGACGGGGAUAGCCCGCCGAAAGGCGGAGUAAUACCAGAUACGGUCCUAUGGUUGGAACCGAAGGAUCAAAGGAUGGCCUCUGCUUGCAAGCCAUCGCCCAAGGAGGAGCCCACAUCCUAUCAGCUAGUUGGCGGGGUAAUGGCCCACCAAGGCUAUGACGGGUAGCUGGUCUGAGAGGACGGCCAGCCACACUGGGACUGAGAUACGGCCCAGACUCCUACGGGAGGCAGCAGCUGGGAAUAUUGGGCAAUGGGGGAAACCUUGACCCAGCGACACCGCGUGUGGGAUGACAGCCUUCGGGUCGUAAACCACUGUCAGGGGGGAAGAAAGCCGGGCUCGCGAAUAGCUAGUACCGGUUGACUGUACUCUCAGAGGAAGCCAUGGCUAACUCUGUGCCAGCAGCAGCGGUAAAACAGAGAUGGCAAGCGUUGUCCGGAAUUACUGGGCGUAAAGGGCGUGUAGGCGGUCAAGCAUGUCAGUCGUGAAAGGCGUCGGCUCAACCGAAGCACUGCGACUGAAACGGCAGGACUGGAGGACAGGAGAGGAAAGAGGAAUUCUCGGUGUAGCAGUGAAAUGCGUAGAUAUCGGGAAGAACACCAAUGGCGAAAGCGACUUUCUGGCCUGUUUCUGACGCUGAGGCGCGAAAGCCAGGGGAGCAAACGGGAUUAGAUACCCCGGUAGUCCUGGCUGUAAACGAUGGACACUAGGUGUGGGGGAGUUCUCUCCUCCGUGCCGCAGGUAACCCGUUAAGUGUCCCGCCUGGGGACUACGGCCGCAAGGUUGAAACUCAAAGAAAUUGACGGGGGCCCGCACAAGCGGUGGAGCAUGUGGCUCAAUUCGACGCAACGCGAGGAACCUUACCAGGGUUUGACAUGUCUUCGACAGUCCUCGAAAGGGGAUUUUCUCGCAAGGGACGGUGACACAGGUGCUGCAUGGCUGUCGUCAGCUCGUGUCGUGAGAUGUUGGGUUAAGUCCUUUAACGAGCGAAACCCUUGCCGUUAGUUGCCAGCGGGUAAUGCCGGGGACUCUAGCAGGACUGCCGGUGUAAAAC